rnacentral:rRNA from 1 species
CAGCCGCCGCGGUAAUACGAAGGGGGCUAGCGUUACUCGGAAUUACUGGGCGUAAAGGGCGCGUAGGCGGCACGAUUAGUCAGGCGUGAAAUUCCUGGGCUCAACCUGGGGACUGCGCUUGAUACGGUCGAGCUAGAGGAUGGAAGAGGGUUGUGGAAUUCCCAGUGUAGAGGUGAAAUUCGUAGAUAUUGGGAAGAACACCGGUGGCGAAGGCGGCAACCUGGUCCAUUACUGACGCUGAGGCGCGACAGCGUGGGGAGCAAACAGGAUUAGAUACCCCUGUAGUCCCUGUCUCUUAUAC